GGGAGUGUAGCUCAGAGGUAGGACAGGGCACUUGCCUGGCAUGUGAGAGGCCCUGAGUUCAAUCCUCAGCAUUGCAA
rfam:Ictidomys tridecemlineatus contig004336, whole genome shotgun sequence.